rnacentral:rRNA from 1 species
GCUCACCGCCUUACUGAUCCUAACCAAACUCCGAAUACCGAAGAGUAAUGCUCGGCAGACACACUACGGGUGCUAAGGUCCGUGGUGGAAAGGGAAACAGCCCUGACCGACAGCUAAGGUCCCUAAAUUAUGGCUAAGUUGGAAAGGAUGUAGGAAUCCCAAAACAACCAGGAGGUUGGCUUAGAAGCAGCCAUCCUUUAA